GCAGAAGUGUAUAUUUGAACAAACUUUUUGGCAUUACAUGUAUCUCUCCACUUUCUCUUCUUUUCAUAAAAUUUAUUUAAAAAUUAUUCUUAUUCAUUGAAGGGUUAAUCGAUAGUUUAUGUAUAUUUGUGAUAAUAUGACAAAAGUCUUUCCUUAAUAUUAAACUUCGUAUCAAAUUAAAUCAGACCAUUUUUUUAAACGGAGGAAGUAGGUUGUAUUGUCUUGAUAAGUUAAUGCCAAAUGACAAAAGAUAAAAAGAUGGUCAAAAGUAAUGAAAAGUAGAGCAUGCCAUGAAUGAGACUAAAAUAAUAGAUUAAAAUAAUCUUAAAGUUAUAAAGCUUAGAUGUAAAAUAUUAAAGGGAUCCUUUUUUUUAAAAGAGAAUAGCACUCCUACGCCUUUUCUUUCAUCUUACCCAUCCCUUGCACGCUCCUCACCUCCCAAAACCCAAAUUUGAAUGGCUAUUCCCUAAUUUUCAGAAAAAAUCAUAAAUCCGUGACUUUUUCUUCUUCUCCAUAUCUUUUUUCUUGAAAAUUCGGUACGUCACCACUGUCGCCUAUCAUUAUUGGUGGAAUUUAUGCUCAAGUAGUUGGUCAAAGAUAAGGAAAGAGUUUCGGAUUCCUAUCCGGAAUCUUUGGACGUCAAAACCUUAGAUUGUUGUUCAACACAAGGGACCAACAUUGCUCCACACUCUCCUCUCCAUGGCUAAGUUUGUCGUUGAAGGCUACUAGUAGUUGGUGAGUUCCCAUAUUUUGGGAACAACAUCCCUAUCUUUCUAGAUUAUGCUUUGUAUAGACUAUUGAGUUACUUUUGGUACUUUUGACUUAUAUCUUGAGGGUGAGCUAGGGACAUGUCUUAGCCCCCGUCAAGUCUUUAAAGUAAAAGGUAGGUUGGACAAAGUGUAUGAUCUUCAAAUGACUUGGACUCUUAUGUUAUAUGGAA